GGCGAUGAAUUGGAUACCGCGGCAAGGAUUAUUCCUUGCUGAGGAAAGUCCGGGCUCCGCUGGGCAUGGCGCCGGGUAACUCCCGGGCAGAAUAUUUUCCGUAAGGAAAAUAUUCUGACAGAUAGCGCAACAGAAAGAAAACCGCCUGCCGUAAGGUAGGUAAGGGCGAAAGGGUGGUGUAAGAGACCACCGCAUUUUCAGCAAUGAAAAUGGCACGGCAAGCCUCGCCAGGAGCAAAGUCAAGCAGCGGCAUUGAAGGCCCAAACUCAGCCGCGGGUAGACUGCUAGACAGUUUUGGCAACAAAACUGCAAGAUAGAUGGUAUCCAUCCCAUAGAAUUUCUGUGGGAUACAGAACCCGGCUUAUAAUUCAUCGCUUUUU
rnacentral:RNase_P_RNA from 1 species